rnacentral:rRNA from 1 species
UUGGCUCAGGAUGAACGCUGGCGGCGUGCCUAACACAUGCAAGUCGAACGGAAAUUGCAGAAGGAAGUUUUCGGAUGGAAUUUUGUAAUUUUAGUGGCGGACGGGUGAGUAACACGUGGGUAACCUGCCCUGUACCGGGGGAUAACAGUUGGAAACGGCUGUUAAUACCGCAUAAGCGCACAGCUCCGCAUGGAGCAGUGUGAAAAACUCCGGUGGUACAGGAUGGACCCGCGUCUGAUUAGCUAGUUGGCGGGGUAACGGCCCACCAAGGCGACGAUCAGUAGCCGGCCUGAGAGGGUGAACGGCCACAUUGGGACUGAGACACGGCCCAGACUCCUACGGGAGGCAGCAGUGGGGAAUA